rnacentral:rRNA from 1 species
GGAAUAGGACCCUGUCCUCCUAUUUUCAGUUGGUUUUGGCAGCGCGAGGACUAGGGUAAUGAUUAAUAGGGAUAGUUGGGGGCAUUAAUAUUUAAUUGUCAGAGGUGAAAUUCUUGGAUUUAUGAAAGAUUAACUUCUGCGAAAGCAUCUGCCAAGGAUGUUUUCAUUAAUCAAGAACGAAAGUUAGGGGAUCGAAGACGAUCAGAUACCGUCGUAGUCUUAACCAUAAACGAUGCCGACCAGCGAUUAGGAGACGUUGAAUACAAAACACCACCAUCGGCGCGGUCGUCCUUGGCGUCUGUCCCUUUCAACGGGGGCAUGGCGCGAGGGCGGUUUAGCCCGGUGGCACCGGUGAAU